rnacentral:misc_RNA from 1 species
GUGAAUCAUCGAAUUUUUGAACGCAAAUUGCACUCCCUGGUAUUCCGGGGAGUAUGCCUGUUUGAGGGUCGUUAGAAGAAAAAUCGAAGCAUCGCUCUUUUUUUUGAGGGGGCUGCCUUCGGAAUUAGUCCGUCUUCCAAUUUUUAUUCAAUGUAAAAGUGGUUUAAAAUCCUUCAUUCCGGUAG